AAAAUGUCACAAGGUGCUGAGAAUCAGGCAGAACUUGUUGAGGAAAGCAUUCAACAUGCGAAGGAAGCUAUCACUUUAGAUGUCAAGGAUGGUUACUCUUGGUAUAAUCUUGGAAAUGCAUGCCUUACUAGUUUUUUUGUCUCUGGAGCUUGGGAUCAUAGCAAACUUCAACAUUCUGUA